CUUUGCAGGUUCAGUUGCACGGCCCGCCACCUAGAUGGCUCUUUUUGCCAAUAAGCGCUACUCCCUGGCCCUGUUUUUAUGCACUCUGGUGAGACUUCUACCCCUGAGGAAUCCAGUUCUCUGCCUUCUCUGGUCUUUUCCAGGUUUAUUGAACAUAUUUAGAAAAGAAAAUACAUGAAAUGAUCAGAGACGACACAUUCACAGGUCGGGCUUAUGACCUCAGGCCCUCGACGCUCCAGGCAAACGCACAGCACUCCCGUUCUGCACAGAAGCCACGGCCCGCCUUCCUGUAGCUCCGUCACCCUCCCACCCGCGCAGCCAGCCUUGCCCCCAGCAGAGUGGCUGGUUCAAGAGUUAGCUUCUGGGGCCAAUGGGCCAAGGAUCAGCUGUUGGGAGAGGUCGGGGAGGAGGAGCACGACUGGGUCUCCGAAAUGGUCACAGGAAAAGAAAAAGAAGAAGUGUGUUAUAGGCAACAAGAUACACCAAGGCCAGUCCCGGACACCCGAAUUGUUGCCAGGUCGCCCGCUGGCUCCCCACUGGCACACCCUCGGCGACUCUGUCAUCCCAUCUGUGCGAGGACCACACCUGGUUAGCUCCAGGGGGACACCGUACUCCUUACAGAUCCCGAGGAUCCAACGCCUGGUGUCUAUACAGUCGACUCAGCACCUGACUUGAAGCAGAGCCAGCAAACAUUUGAGGGAAAUUAACACCGUAAAGAAGAAGGGCCAAGAACAAUCAACCAGGUAACCUAGAUAAAGCUAGGGAUGAAACAAAUAAACCGAAACAAUUUAUAAUUAUUAUCUUCA
rnacentral:lncRNA from 12 species